rnacentral:rRNA from 1 species
CCUACGGGAGGCAGCAGUAGGGAAUAUUGCUCAAUGGGGGAAACCCUGAAGCAGCAACGCCGCGUGGAGGCUGAAGGUUUUCGGAUUGUAAACUCCUUUUGUUAGAGAAGAUAAUGACGGUAUCUAACGAAUAAGCACCGGCUAACUCCGUGCCAGCAGCCGCUGUAAUACGGCGGGUGCAAGCGUUACUCGGAAUCACUGGGCGGAAAGAGCGCUGAGGCGGGAUAGCAAGUCAGAUGUGAAAUCCUAUGGCUUAACCAUAGAACUUCAUUUGAAACUGGUAUUCUAGAGUAUGGGAGAGGUAGGUGGAAUUCUUGGUGGAGGGGUAAAAUCCGUAGAGAUCAAGAGGAAUACUCAUUGCGAAGGCGACCUGCUAGAACAUAACUGACGCUGAUGCGCGAAAGCGUGGGGAGCAAACAGGAUUAGAUACCCCUGUAGUC